CACGUAGUUAGCCGGAGCUUAUUCUAUAGGUACUGUCUUUUUUCUUCCCUAUCUAAAGCAGUUUACAAUCCGAAAACCUUCUUCCUGCACGCGGCGUCACUGCAUCAGAGUUUCCUCCAUUGUGCAAUAUUCCCGACUGCUGCCUCCCGUAGGAGUCUGGGCCGUAUCUCAGUCCCAAUGUGGCCGUUCAACCUCUCAGUUCGGCUACUGAUCGUCGACUUGGUAGGCCAUUACCCCACCAACUAUCUAAUCAGACGCAAGCCCAUCUAUUAGCGGAUUGCUCCUUUCCUGUUUGUACCAUGCGAUACUCACAGCAUAUGCGGUAUUAGCAAUGAUUUCUCACUGUUAUUCCCCUCUAAUAGGCAGGUUGCUUACGUGUUACUCACCAGUCCGCCACUAACCGCUCCAAAAUAUAAAUACUUCGGUUAAGUCCGUUCGACUUGCAUGUCUUAUGUGCGCCGCCAGCGUUUAUCCUGAGCCAGGAUCAAACUC
rnacentral:rRNA from 1 species